rnacentral:rRNA from 1 species
CCACCGAAAGCCUAAGGGUUCCUGGGCAACGAUCGUCGACCCAGGGUAAGUCGGGGCCUAAUCCGAGGCGCAGACGCAUAGGAGAUGGACAACAGGUUGAAAUUCCUGUACCGACACCGUCCGACAGAGCGAGGGAGUGACACAAGAAGGAACGUUCGCAUGCGAAUGGAAGAGCAUGUCCAAGCCGGUAGGUGGCGUAUCAGGCAAAUCCGGUACGCCGAAAGCCGAGAGGUGAUGGGGAGGCUGUAGGGAUACAGAGGAAGGAACGGGGACUCAAUUGUCAAGAAAAGCUUCUAGCGAGGACGGUGGCGCCCGUACCGAAACCGACACAGGUAGGCAGGACGAGAAUUCUAAGGUGCGCGGGAAACCCCUCGUUAAGGAACUCGGCAAAAUGUAUCCGUAACUUCGGGAAAAGGAUAACCCAGAGUAGGUGAAGGAUAGAAACAUCCGGAGCCGAAAUGGGUGGCACAAGAGAGGCCCAAGCGACUGUUUAGCACAAACACAGGCGUCUGCGAAAGAGAAAUCUGAAGUAUAGAUGCUGACACCUGCCCGGUGCUGGAAGGUUAAGAGGACGUGUGAGCCGCAAGGCGAAGCAGAGAAUUGAAGCCCCAGUAAACGGCGGCCGUAACUAUAACGGUCCUAAGGUAGCGAAAUUCCUUGUCGGGUAAGUUCCGACCCGCACGAAAGGCGUAACGAUUUGGGCACUGUCUCAACGAGGGACCCGGUGAAAUUGAAAUACCUGUGAAGAUGCAGGUUACCCGCGACUGGACAGAAAGACCCCAUGGAGCUUUACUGCAACCUGAGAUGGGAUUUGGGUAUAAGACGUACAGGAUAGUUGGGAGGCGUGGAAGUGAGGACGGCAGUUUUCACGGAGCCGACGGUGGGAUACCAACCUUGUUGUACUGAAAUUCUAACGAGAGCCGUAACGAGGCUUCGGACAGUCUCAGGCGGGCAGUUUGACUGGGGCGGUCGCCUCCGAAAGAGCAACGGAGGCGCCCAAAGGUUCCCUCAGCGCGGACGGAAACCGCGCGAAGAGUGUAAAGGCAGAAGGGAGCUUGACUGCGAGACGGACAGGUCGAGCAGGGACGAAAGUCGGGCUUAGUGAUCCGGUGGUAGAGAGUGGAAUUGCCAUCGCUCAACGGAUAAAAGCUACCCUGGGGAUAACAGGCUAAUCUCUCCCAAGAGUCCAUAUCGACGGGGAGGUUUGGCACCUCGAUGUCGGCUCAUCACAUCCUGGGGCUGAAGUAGGUCCCAAGGGUUGGGCUGUUCGCCCAUUAAAGUGGUACGCGAGCUGGGUUCAGAACGUCGUGAGACAGUUCGGUCCCUAUCCAUCGCGGGCGCAAGAAACUUGAAAGGGGCUGCUCCUAGUACGAGAGGACCGGAGUGGACGAACCAAUGGUGUAUCGGUUAUGCCGCCAGGCGUACAGCCGAGUAGCUACGUUCGGGACGGAUAAACGCUGAAAGCAUCUAAGCGUGAACCCGGCCUAAAGAUGAGGUUUCUCCUUGCAAGACAAGUAAGGCCCCAUGAAGACGACAUGGUAGAUAGGCCGGGAGUGGAAGUGCAGCGAUGCAUGGAGCGGACCGGUACUAAUAGGCCGAGGACUUAACUU